UUAAAUUACCGAGAAUUGUCGUUCAUUCUUGCUUUAGCGACUUGUGCGUGAAGAGCUAAGAAAUUUUCUCGAGCGACAAUUAUUGAUCAUCAAUAAUUAUCUAUCUUGCAUUGCAAUCUUGUUUGUUCAAUUGUCAAGUGUAAACCCAAUCGUUGAUAAGUCGAGAGGCAAUUCCUGGAAAAGCUGUACAUCGCGCCCACCUCGCCUGCGUACAUCUGCGGCUAGAAGGAGGCUGUCCAGGCGGCUGUACAGGAAAGCCCAGCCUUAUCAGCUGCGAGUGAAAAGCUGACAGUUCAUCAGUCUCCAGCAACAUCAACUGGACGACUCUCAACAUUUCCUUUUUAUUUGCCAUAGAUUCCCAUCGUAUAAAUUUACAG